UUGUGCGCGGCCGAGUGGUUAAAGGCGACGGCGCUCAAGAGCAGAGGAAGGGGCCCGGGUUCAAGUCCCGGGCACGCACAAA